GACGAACGCUUGCGGCGUGCUUAACACAUGCAAGUCGAACGGAAAGGCCCCCACCUUGGUGGGGGUGCUCGAGUGGCGAACGGGUGAGUAACACGUGGGUGAUCUGCCCUGUACUUCGGGAUAAGCUUGGGAAACUGGGUCUAAUACCGGAUAGGACCAUGGUUUUGUGUCUCCUGGUGGAAAAAUUAUUGUUUUGUUGCAGGAUGAGCUCGCGGCCUAUCAGCUUGUUGGUGGGGUAAUGGCCUACCAAGGCGUCGACGGGUAGCCGGCCUGAGAGGGUGGACGGCCACAUUGGGACUGAGAUACGGCCCAGACUCCUACGGGAGGCAGCAGUGGGGAAUAUUGCACAAUGGGCGCAAGACUGAUGCAGCGACGCCGCGUGGGGGAUGACGGCCUUCGGGUUGUAAACUCCUUUCGUUAGGGACGAAGCCACACCUUUUUUGGGUGUGGUGACGGUACCUUUGUUAAGAAGCACCGGCUAACUACGUG
rnacentral:rRNA from 1 species